CCCUCACAUGGAGAAGUCAUUUUCGUGUCUGUAUACAAAUGGGGUGAUUAGGUUGUCAACGAUAUUACAAUCCUUAUUAGUUUUCACAAACCCUCAGUGAACUUCAUGUGUGAUCUCUGCCUUCAGUUCAGGGUUGACAUGUAAUGACUCACACACCUGCUGGAAUAUUCCAAAACUACUGUAUGAGUCCUUUGCUUCCCUCUUACCCCUCUGCAGCUCGUUUUCCCAUCAUAGCUCAUAAACAUACUCUUUAACGACUCAUUGCCUCGAAUGCCAUGACCAGACUUAGAAGCGUUGUAGGCUGAAUGAAGCAAUCAAACUCUCCACUCCUGUUUAUUGUUAUUUUUUUAAAGAUGAAAGUUGUCAGAUGGAAAUGGGGGUGUUAAUUCCUUAUCCUAUUCUAAAACUUUUGCUCAGAUAUGCCAAGAAAAGAGAAUGUAAGUGUGAGAGUGUGUGUGUGCGCUUGAAGCAAUAGCUUAGAGGAGACCAAAAAACCUUAAAGUAAAAUUUGGAAGCAACAUUUAAAUUAGGUAUGCUUUACAGGCUGAUGUUAUUUGAAAUCCGAAAGCUGAUGUCAAAAAUAGGUUUCCCUUUCUUUCCAGAGUGUGGCAAAAAAUAACCACAUGCCUUCUUGGACUCCUGACUCUCACCCCAAAGGGUUUUCUUGUAUAGGAACCAACAAUUCCUUGGAUGGAAACGCUGGAUAGGCUAGUCAUUAUUUUGAGAUUCAGAAGAUUGCAGAUUCUUGGCAGACCUCGGUUGUUUUUCUAGUAGUAGGCAAGUGGUUGGACAAAAAGCAAGAAACGGAUCCAUGUUGCUGGCUUUGGGUUCUUUGAACAAAUGAGACAGUACACCAUCUUGGACAUCUUCUGUGCAUGUCUCUCACCUUCUGGCCCACCUUUGAUGCCAGCUGUUGCUGGGGAACCAGCUUUGUGCAGGUGCAACCCGAUGGUGCCUUGUUUCAGCUGCACCCUGUGUCUCCCUUUCAGCCCUGGCCUCCUCUGGGACGGUAUGCUGAUAUACAUGUGUGUGCAACCUGGAAGUUGUGAGGGUGUCAGCACUUCAUGUGACAACGCUCCGAAAGGGAAUAGGAGUCUAUGGGUUAAUGCUUCUCUUUUUCUUCCAUCAGGCUGAAAAUUCUGAUGUGCAUUCUACACAGCUUCUUAGAGGGUCCUUGCCAGAGACGUGAUAGACCACAUGGCCACCUUAUCUCCCCCCUUCACUCCCUCCUGCCCUUGACUCCUGUCUGCUGGGACCACUCUCCAAAAUAACCUUCCUUUACAAAAGCUCUGCUUUCUGUAGGGAACCCAGGGUACAGUAAGAUGCUAGGAUACACUAGAAUGAAGACAGAAGACGAACUGCUAAGGGAUUGGUUGGGUUCUCUAUGUCUGUGAAUGGGGUUCAAAGAGAAGUCUGGGAAGCCCUGGACCAGAUGGCCAUUGGAAUCAUGGCAUGUAAAAUUAGAAUUGUCAGGUCCCCAUCCAGCUCUAACAGGUUCAUGAGUGCCUGAGUCUUACACGAAGAACAGUAGGAGAAGAUCCCUAAGCCGUGUCAAGCCUGUUGAACAGCUGUGAGUACGUGUGACAUCGAGGAGAAGCAGAGAACAAAACCAAACAGUGCAGAAACAUUCAGAAAUCCCACUACCCUGGGAGACUUCUGCACUGUUACUAGAUCUAAUUAUAAAACUACAAGUGAUGCUGGCCUAUUAGAAGGAAAUUGUUGAUCUCACUCGAGGCAUGGUGUCUGUCUACAAAUAAAAGUGGAGGAGACCCAGUCA